rnacentral:rRNA from 1 species
AGCUUGCUCCCAAAUCUUAGCGGCGGACGGGUGAGUAACACGUGGGCAACCUGCCCUGCAGACUGGGAUAACUCCGGGAAACCGGAGCUAAUACCGGGUAAUACAUAGCACCGCAUGGUGCAAUGUUGAAAGUUGGCUUUCGAGCUAACACUGCAGGAUGGGCCCGCGGCGCAUUAGCUAGUUGGUAAGGUAAUGGCUUACCAAGGCGACGAUGCGUAGCCGACCUGAGAGGGUGAUCGGCCACACUGGGACUGAGACACGGCCCAGACUCCUACGGGAGGCAGCAGUAGGGAAUCUUCCGCAAUGGACGAAAGUCUGACGGAGCAACGCCGCGUGAGUGACGAAGGCCUUCGGGUCGUAAAGCUCUGUUGUUAGGGAAGAACAAGUACCGUUCGAAUAGGGCGGUACCUUGACGGUACCUAACCAGAAAGCCACGGCUAACUACGUGCCAGCAGCCGCGGUAAUACGUAGGUGGCAAGCGUUGUCCGGAAUUAUUGGGCGUAAAGCGCGCGCAGGCGGUCUUUUAAGUCUGAUGUGAAAGCCCACGGCUCAACCGUGGAGGGUCAUUGGAAACUGGAGGACUUGAGUGCAGAAGAGGAGAGUGGAAUUCCACGUGUAGCGGUGAAAUGCGUAGAUAUGUGGAGGAACAC